rnacentral:tRNA from 1 species
ACCAGGGUAGCUCACCUGGUACAGCAGAGGACUGAAAAUC